rnacentral:lncRNA from 1 species
AUCUUCUAUAUCAGCGUCGCUUUCUUCUAAGAAAUGAAAUUAAUUACAUCAAAAGAAAGAAGAACAGCAAGUUAAUUUGGAUUUGGAAGGGCAGUUGUAUGGAGCAGGCAUCGCAGAUUGAAGAUGCAACCGUUCAGGAGAUGUGUUGCUAGCCGCGGAGGGCCAUAAAGAAGAAGUGGCUGCGCAUGAGAAACUGCAGCGGUUAUCUAAAAUUAAAAAAAAUUUUUUAAAUUAUUUUAAAUACUUUAAUAUAUGCAAAAUAAAAACCUUAAAAGAGGUUUUUUAUUUUAUUUAUUUUUCACGAUAAAAAAUUGUUAAAUAAUAGGCUUUUCUUUGGUUUCUACAGUGGUUUUACCCCUUAACUGCUAUAUGCGGCAGAUUUAGGUAAAAAAAAAUUAUCUCCUUUAAAAUAACAAUUUAAUUCAUAUUACAGAAACUAUAAUAAUCGCAAUAAAUUAAGCUCACUAAAUUACAAUUCGAAAGAUAAUUAAACAUCAAUUUAAAACAAUGUCUUCUAUUGUCACUAAUUUCUUAAAAUUAGUGAAUUAAAUGAGAUUAUAUAUAAAUAUAUGUGGAUAUAUAUGUCAUAUUUAUACCAAUCAAUUGUAAACAUUUUGUAUUAUCAAAGAAAAAUAAUUGUAAAAAAUUAUUAAAUUAACAAUAAUUUUAAAAUACAAUUCUGUCAGAAAAAGAUAAAUUUUAAAUUUUAAACAAAAUUUCAACAUACGAUUGUAUGGAGAGGGGAUAAAGAACUAAGGACAAGAUCCAAUCAUAUACUGAGCCCUCACUUAUUCUUUAAUAUGAUUGGUCCUUCCCCUUAGUUCUUCAUCCCUUUUCCAUGCGACCGUAUGCUACCGGGGCCGGAAUAUGCGAUCCUUGCGCUUGUCUACUGACCCAUGCGCAGUAGAAUCGGAGCAGAAGUAAAACUGUAAAUCGGUGAAAGAAGAAAAAAAAUAUAUAUAAAAUAAAAAACGAUAGAUAAUUGAGCUAAAACGGUAAGCAGUAGCCUUUGUUAGCCAAAACGGUGGAUCUAACGCUAAAACGGUAGACGUAAUAACACUGCUUUGAACAUCACUGGGCUACACACGCGUGGCGCUUCGUGUCCGUGUGCACAUACACAUCUCACACAGAGUAAACGAGGAGCUGGCAACAUCGCAUUGCACAAGAGCAGCGAAAGAAAUAAAGUGGAAAUGAAACUCACACGCAAAUACUCGCUUCAUCCUCUCUCCCACUCUCUUUCAUAUGGAACGACGUUGCCGUUACGCUGUGAGUGAGUAACUUGCUACUUGUAGUCGGGAUUAAAAUAAUAAACUUUCAAUUAAAUUUACGUAAAAACGGCACGGGCAAUUAUCGUAAACUUUGUUUUAAUUUAAUUUAAUUUAAAUAAUAUGUUCUAACAAAUGUUAGUUUAUUUAAAAAAUCUGUUGAUAGGAUUUUUGUCUAUAAGCCAUAACGUUCGAUUAUUUUACGUUCGACCUAUCUUCCCUAUGUUAAAAGAUUCAACUUUAAAGCUUCAUAACUCAAGUUCGGCACAAUAAAUCGUUUUAAAAUUUCAACCAGUUAUGCGAAACAGCUUGAUCUAUAUAACAAUUUUUUUCAAAAUCUAUUGAAAAUCGAUUUUGGCGCAUAAUACCUUAAACAAGGAUAAAAUGAUAUCUGAGAACACGUAAGUGAUAUUUUUAAAUGCAGUCCUGUAGUAUACAAUCUUGCACUAAUGUAUACUAGUUCAGAAAGUUUUCC